AAUCGAACCCGGAGAUAGCUGGUUCUCCUCGAAAUAGCUUUAGGGCUAGCCUCGUAUUAGAUUAUCGGAGGUAGAGCACUGAAUGGGCUAGGGGGUCCAAAGCUUACCGAACCCUAUCAAACUGCGAAUGCCGAAUAAUUGAUGUACGGGAGUCAGUCCGCGAGAGAUAAGUUCCGCGGGCAAAAGGGGAACACCCCAGACCCGCCGCUAAGGUCCCGAAGUUCACGUUAAGUGGAGAAGGAUGUGUGAUUGCAUAGACAACCAGGAUGUUGGCUCAGAAGCAGCCAUUCAUUCAAAGAGUGCGUAAUAGCUCACUGGUCGAGUGGUCAUGCGCCGAAGAUGUACCGGGGCUCAAACGUGACACCGAAGCGCGGGAUUCGUUCAAAACGAGUGGUAGAGGAGCAAUGAAUCAGGGCAGAAGCCAGAUCGAGAGGACUGGUGGACUUGAUUCAAGAGAGAAUGCCGGUAUGAGUAGCGAGAGGCAAGCGAGAAACUUGCCCGUCGAAAGCCUAAGGUUUCCUGGGGAAGGUUCAUCCGCCCAGGGUAAGUCGGGACCUAAGCCGAGGACGGAAGUCGUAGGCGAUGGACAGCAGGUGGAGAUUCCUGCACCGCCUUGAGAAUGAAGCAAUGACACAGAAGGAUAGCAUGAGCCGGGUGAUGGUCAACUCGGUUUCCACAGCGAGGGUGCUUGGUAGUGAAGUACGUCAAGCGCGAAGCCUGAGCCGAAGAGGGAGCGAAAUCAAGUAGCGAAGCAUGCGAUUUCACGCUGGCGAGAAAAGUUGCUAGUUUAUCGAAAAGGCGCCCGUACCGCAAUCCGACGCAGGUAGGCGAGAAGAGAAUUCUAAGACGAACGGGAGAAUCCUUGUUAAGGAACUCGGCAAAAUGACCCCGUAACUUCGGGAGAAGGGGUGCCGAUGGAAACAUCGGUCGCAGAGAAUAGGCUCAAGCAACUGUUUAGCAAAAACACAGGUAUCUGCGAAAGAGAGAUCUGACGUAUAGGUGCUGACACCUGCCCGGUGCUGGAAGGUUAAGGGGAAAUGUUAGGGCAACCGAAGCAUAGAACCGAAGCCCCAGUAAACGGCGGCCGUAACUAUAACGGUCCUAAGGUAGCGAAAUUCCUUGUCGGGUAAGUUCCGACCCGCACGAAUGGUGUAAUGAUUUGAGCGCUGUCUCAACAGGGAGCCCGGUGAAAUUGAAGUAUGGGUGAAGAUGCCCAUUACCCGCGACUGGACGGAAAGACCCCGUAGAGCUUGACUGUAGCUUGAUAUUGGAUUUCGGUAACGGAUGCACAGCAUAGGUGGGAGACUGGGAAACCACUACUUCGGUAGUGAUGGAGUCGCCGUUGGGAUACCACUCUUCUGUUAUUGGAAUUCUAACAUAGCGCCAUGAAACUGGUGGAUGGACAGUGUCAGGUGGGCAGUUUGACUGGGGCGGUCGCCUCCAAAAGAGUAACGGAGGCGCCCAAAGGUACCCUCAGAAUGGAUGGAAACCAUUCAAAGAGUGCAAAGGCAGAAGGGUGCUUGACUGUGAGAGUGACAACUCGAUCAGAGACGAAAGUCGGGCUUAGUGAUCCGGCGGUAUUGAGUGGAAAAGCCGUCGCUUAACGGAUAAAAGCUACCUCGGGGAUAACAGGCU
rnacentral:rRNA from 1 species